AGCGAACGCUGGCGGCAGGCCUAACACAUGCAAGUCGAACGAAGUCUUCGGACUUAGUGGCGGACGGGUGAGUAACACGUGGGAACGUGCCUUUAGGUUCGGAAUAACUCAGGGAAACUUGUGCUAAUACCGAAUGUGCCCUUCGGGGGAAAGAUUUAUCGCCUUUAGAGCGGCCCGCGUCUGAUUAGCUAGUUGGUGAGGUAAUGGCUCACCAAGGCGACGAUCAGUAGCUGGUCUGAGAGGAUGACCAGCCACAUUGGGACUGACGACACGGCCCAAACUCCUACGGGAGGCAGCAGUGGGGAAUCUUGCGCAAUGGGCGAAAGCCUGACGCAGCCAUGCCGCGUGGAUGAUGAAGGUCUUAGGAUUGUAAAAUCCUUUCACCGGUGAAGAUAAUGACUGUAGCCGGAGAAGAAGCCCCGGCUAACUUCGUGCCAGCAGCCGCAGUAACAC
rnacentral:rRNA from 1 species